CUUCACCGAGGCCAGCCACAACGGCCGGUCCUCCGACCGGUCCUGGCCGUACGUGGCGAGCAGCGCCUGCGCCUC
rfam:Streptomyces sp. TSRI0107 scaffold3, whole genome shotgun sequence.